GAUGAACGCUGGCGGCGUGCCUAAUACAUGCAAGUCGAGCGAACGGACGAGAAGCUUGCUUCUCUGAUGUUAGCGGCGGACGGGUGAGUAACACGUGGAUAACCUACCUAUAAGACUGGGAUAACUUCGGGAAACCGGAGCUAAUACCGGAUAAUAUUUUGAACCGCAUGGUUCAAAAGUGAAAGACGGUCUUGCUGUCACUUAUAGAUGGAUCCGCGCUGCAUUAGCUAGUUGGUAAGGUAACGGCUUACCAAGGCAACGAUGCAUAGCCGACCUGGGAGGGUGAUCGGCCACCCUGGAACUGAGACACGGUCCAGACUCCUACGGGAGGCAGCGGUAGGGAAUCUUCCGCAUAGGGCGAAAUCCUGACGGAGCAACGCCGCGUGAUUGAUGAAGGUCUUCGGAUCGUAAAACUCUGUUAUUAGGGAAGAACAUAUGUGUAAGUAACUGUGCACAUCUUGACGGUACCUAAUCAGAAAGCCACGGCUAACUACGUG
rnacentral:rRNA from 1 species